AGAUCCUACGGGACGCAGCAGUGGGGGAUAUUGGACAAUGGGGGGAACCCUGAUCCAGCGACGCCGCGUGAGUGAAGAAGUAUUUCGGUAUGUAAAGCUCUGGCAGCAGGGAAGAAAGAAAUGACGGUACCUGACCAAGAAGCCCCGGCUAACUACGUGCAAGCAGCCGCGGUAAUACGUAGGGGGCAAGCGUUAUCAGGAAUUACUGGGGGAAAAGGGAGAGUAGGUGGCAGG
rnacentral:rRNA from 1 species